GGGGGAAAAAUGCAGUGCGCCAACAAUGAAAUUGAAAAUAAUUUGCAUUUCUGAAAUUUCCAUGAGUGUGCUAAAGAUAUACAUUAUACAAUUACUACAAGAGAUGUCAAGUACAAUUUGUUGCAGCAUCAGUAAAGUUCAAUGUUGCUUAUGCCUCUAUCUCAACUAUCUUCUGAAGAUGUACCCAACCGAAAUAGGGGUUCUUUUCCCAACCUGAAAUAAAAUAGAUAUGUGAGUACAGGAUAUGAAGAACAUAAUCUGAUUACCAAGGCCAGCAACAUGAGAUUAUGCAGUACUAGAUCAAUUUCCAUUAGAGAACCAUUAUUUACUCAAAGCAAAUGAUGGAUGAAAUUUACAUAGGCCAAGGAUCUAUAUUGAUGAGGGAAAAAAAAAAUAAUCUCACAUAAAUGUCAAUGAAAUUUGAAAUUUGAUGAAAAAGAAAUAUAAGUAUCCCUUGAUCUGGAAUCAUUAGGAAACUAAUGGAAAUGGCAAUAUCUGUCAUCUGCUUAAUUACAUGAAAAUUUGAACUACAAAUGCUGUACAAGACCUAAAUGGGAAAAAGAAAAUCUAGGGCCAGUAGCUCCCUAAUGGAUAAGUAGAGCUAUUGUUCAAUCUGUUCUACUUUAUUUGAAGGGACCUGGCAGCCUGCAACGGAUAAAGGUAUCUUCAAGUUUUUAACCCUUAAUCCAAUGGGUCUUCCAAUGGAUCCAAGAAGUGAUAUAAGGGGAAAUCAGUUCCCAGGUAACCAAAACUCUAUUGCAAGAAUCUCAACCUAAAAGUAAAAAGAGUACUUCAGGUUUGCAUCAGGUCAUUACCUGAAUUAACAGUUGGGAAGUGCCAAUCAAUCCUAUGUAAUAUAAAUGGAAGUGGAAUAAUCUCCCUAAGCUGGUGGCAGUGGUCGCCGGCAAGUUGGGCAUUCCAUUUUGAUAUCCAUCCACCUUUGUAGACAACCAGAAUGAAAAAAAUGAUCGCAUGGAGUCACCAUGCAAUCAUUAGAACGCUGAGUGAGAUCAAUUGCAGUCAUGCAAAUAACACAGUCUGUGGCCUGAUUUGUAUCCUGGUCAAACCUUCUAUAGUAGCUAUAUUUCUCAGGCAGGAUCUGUCGAGGAAUGAACCACCGAGACCCAAGAUAGUGUUGAAGAAGAAGAACUGAUGCUUGAAGUCCGAUAAAUAUACUCAAACACAUACACCAAGUCUUGUCAGGCUCAAUGCGCAUGAAGUUCUUAGGGCAUCCAAAUAUAUAUAAUGGGACUGCUAGCCGAGUAAUGGUCAUGCCUACGAUAUAAUGUGGGUGCAAAGAUUUUCUUGAAUCACGAAUAAUAUUAGUGAUUAUUUGAGGUAUCCAAAAGGAGUACAUCAAGAGCAGAAUUGGUCGCAGAAAAUUAUGGAACUCAUACAUGACCAGAAUGCCUCCCAAAAGGAUCCCAUAAAAACGACUAUAUAGAACUGAGAGCUCGCGCCUCAUUGUCUCCCAACCCUCACCACUAUUCAUAGGCCUGCUUGCUUUCCAGAUAGCAAGAAGAUAUCUCAUCUCAAAAAUUGAGAAGACUACAAAUUUGAAAAAUGCAGCAGUUGCAAAAGCAUUAAAUAAGGAUUCAACUAAUAUUCCUGCUGUCAAAUGUAAAAGGCAAAGAUAAGCAUCCAUGAUAGCCUGCUGCCCAAUCAUUAAUAUUGAAACUUUGGCAGCUCCUGAUUGAGUGUUGCUAUGUUCCAUUUGUCGGAUCAACAGAAGAACUUGGAGGAAAGAGACAAAAGUGACCAUCAAGGUAUAGUUCACUGCUUUAUUAUAGUAUACUUCAAUGUUGACAGAAGUAGCAUUUAGUAGUAAAGGUGAGAAGCAGUCCCCAUCAUCAUCCACAGCAGGACUCUCCAUUAACCCUUCCAUGUGAUAACGAUCACGGUCUCCAUCAUUUUGGCUGGAAGAGACACGAUUGAUUUGGGCUGCAAUUUCAAUAUUACAAUGUUUCUCCAUCUCAUAAAUGGGUGAAUUUUUUCUCCUCCAUAUUUUAUCUCUUGUAGAUUCUUGGAACACUUGAGAUGAGAAAACUCCAAGCAAAUGAUACGGGUUGGAUAAAAUAUAAUCUUCGUCUUGGCUCAACUCCCCCUCUUUCCCACUGUUAGCUACCAUUCGAAGUUGUCUAAAGGGCCAUAUAUAAACACCUUCCACCCUGAUUUGAGCACCACCAACAUUAUGUGUAUUGUCAAACACAUCAUGGAAAAUAAUAACACCCUGGACAUAAUGUACGCCAGUUAUUUUUGUUGGUGUGCUGACUAAUUCAAUGACAGAUUCUCCGGUGGAUUUCCUGAAAUCUGGAAACCUGGAAGAGCCAUUUGUAGAAUCUAGGGAUUUCCAAGUCCCUCGGUAAGUUCCAGUUAUGUUCCAUACAGAAAAUGGACCCAAAUCAUUUUCAUCUUUUCUAAUAAAUAGCCACUCAUCGCCCCACGACCGAUUCCGUUCCUUCAAGGGUCUGAGACCCGCCACCGGACGUAAAACCACAAACCCAAACCAUAACCCAAACACAAGCCGAAAAACAAACCCUAACCGUCUCCUCCUGUGAACAUUCAAAAAACCCAAAUUCUCACAGUCAACCAUAUCAACAAAACAGCCCCCUUUCACCACCCACCAGCUCGACGAGCAGCAAGACCUGGAUUUAGCUCCAAUUGGUUUCCAAAAAGGACCAGUCUUGAAUAAUAGAAAAGCAGAUAGAAACAAAACACCCCAUUAGAUAGCAAGCAAAAGGGUCGACAGGAAAGAGGUUGCUUGAACUGGAGUCAAACAAACAAAAUGGGAACUAACGACCUGACGAGAAAAUGAGAGCUCAACAACUUAAAUUAGGAGAUUAAUUAAUGGAAGUAAUCACCAAACUAAACAAAAGAUAAGCCUUCACUGGAAGAUUCUUGAACCAGAAAAUCAUACCCAGAAAUCUACACGCAACACUAUUAUGAAUAAUAAUAAUAAUAAUAAUA
rnacentral:misc_RNA from 1 species